rnacentral:rRNA from 1 species
AAAGACCGAAUGGGGAGAUUCAUCGUCAGCGACGUUGGCUUCUCGAGGGUUCGUGAUGUCCAGGGACCUCGGUCCCUUGGCACGCGUCCCUUGCGCUCUAUGUCCGGCGACGUCGGCGUGCAUUCUCCCCUAGUAGGAGUCGCGACCCGUUGGGUGUCGGCCUACGGGCCGGGUGGUCGACUGUCGCCUCGGCGUAACGCGGCAGACCCCCGGUUACCCGACCGGCUACUCGGCGGUACUCGCAUGGUAUCGGGCCGCUGCAUUUGACAGCGUCGGACCCGUCGCAAGCGCGGUCAGUACUUCCGGGUGUUUGCGGACCUGGUCCGUCCCCGGGGCUGGCAAGCUGUUAGCAGACGGUGUUCUCCGACUGGCCAAACUCAUGAUACCGGUCGGCGACGCUACUGCUUUGGGUACUUUCAGGACCCGUCUUGAAACACGGACCAAGGAGUCUAACACGUGCGCGAGUCAUUGGGACUGAAAGCCUAAAGGCGCAAUGAAAGUGAAGGUCGGUCUAGCGCCGACUGAGGGAAGAUGGGCCGUUUAUUACGCGGCUCCGCAUUCCCGGGGCGACUCGUUCUCAUU